rnacentral:rRNA from 1 species
UGGGGAAUAUUGCACAAUGGGCGCAAGCCUGAUGCAGCCAUGCCGCGUGUAUGAAGAAGGCCUUCGGGUUGUAAAGUACUUUCAGCGGGGAGGAAGGGAGUAAAGUUAAUACCUUUGCUCAUUGACGUUACCCGCAGAAGAAGCACCGGCUAACUCCGUGCCAGCAGCCGCGGUAAUACGGAGGGUGCAAGCGUUAAUCGGAAUUACUGGGCGUAAAGCGCACGCAGGCGGUUUGUUAAGUCAGAUGUGAAAUCCCCGGGCUCAACCUGGGAACUGCAUCUGAUACUGGCAAGCUUGAGUCUCGUAGAGGGGGGUAGAAUUCCAGGCGUAGCGGUGAAAUGCGUAGAGAUCUGGAGGAAUACCGGAGGCGAAGGCGGCCCCCUGGACGAAGACUGACGCUCAGGUGCGAAAGCGUGGGGAGCAAACAGG